UCUAGCACAACACUGUGACCUUACAGUUCUUUACUUAGGGAUCCAGAUCCAGAACACUUCAAAUGUUGCUAUUUAAUUCUUCACCAGAAGGUUUGGUGAUAAGUGCAAGGGAUGUUGACAUAAUUUCUGGAGAGUAAGCGAAUGAUAGGGUGCAAGGGAUAUACCUGGCUAAAAGAUUACACAGGCAUCUCUGUCCUUGAAGGAACAAAAUGAAGGAUCCAACAAAACCCAGAAGACUAACAUCUUUAGAGAACCAGUCUCCGUGCUACAAAGAAGCUUGAACCACCUCUUGAAGAGGACUGCAUAGAGAGGAACCAUUAGGUAUCAUCAGUCCUCUGCUAAUUCUUCAGGUGUGGACUUAUCUUACAGCUCUGUGAAUUUCUUCUAAGGGAUAGCACCCUGGAUGAGAAUUUAAAGAUGUUUCUCAUCUGCAAAAUGGAACUAGAAACCCCACCUCAUGGGAUAAUGGUGAAGAUGACAUGGAAUGCAGGCAGAAAUCUGGAAGUGAAGAAGCACUGGAAAAUUCAAGUAAAGAACAUCAGCUAUCAGUCCCAUAAUUUGUGAUUGAGGAUUGAGA